rnacentral:rRNA from 1 species
GACGAACGCUGGCGGCGUGCUUAACACAUGCAAGUCGAACGGAAAGGCCCUGCGUUUGUGGGGUGCUCGAGUGGCGAACGGGUGAGUAACACGUGAGUAACCUGCCCUUGACUUUGGGAUAACUUCAGGAAACUGGGGCUAAUACCGGAUAGGAGCUCCUGCUGCAUGGUGGGGGUUGGAAAGUUUCGGCGGUUGGGGAUGGACUCGCGGCUUAUCAGCUUGUUGGUGGGGUAGUGGCUUACCAAGGCUUUGCCGGGUAGCCGGCCUGAGAGGGUGACCGGCCACAUUGGGACUGAGAUACGGCCCAGACUCCUACGGGAGGCAGCAGUGGGGAAUAUUGCACAAUGGGCGGAAGCCUGAUGCAGCAACGCCGCGGGCGGGAUGACGGCCUUCGGGUUGUAAACCGCUUUCGCCGGUGACGAAGCGUGAGUGACGGUAAUGGGUAAAGAAGCACCGGCUAACUACGUG